CUCCAACUGGUGUGGCCGCCAGGACCUGGGGAUGUCCCUGCUUCACGCUCCAAACAAGUGGCAGGUGCACCCGCUUAGGAGCUCCCUCAACCUCCGAGGUCUGGAGAGGGGAGAGGGGGUCACAGAACCACAGCCCUAGAACUGAGGCCAGAGAGGGAGGAGGCUCCGGCAAAGGAGCCUGGACGAGAAAGCACGUCCCCUUCCCGUGUCCCCACGUCACCUUGUGGGAGGCCCCGUCAGCCCUGAGGCCAGGCAGAAGAGGCUCCUGGAGAAGGCUCCUGCAGGAGACUUGAAGCUCCAAGUUCCAGCCUCGCCGCAUUAGUGACUUGCAUUUUGGACCCUGUGCUUCUCGGUGAGGAAGGAGAAUGUGGCCCUGUUAGGAGGCAUGGACCGACUGGACGACUGACCCAGCCCUUUCCUGAGCCCCAUCAUAACUCAUGUCUGGGCCCCAGCGGCCUCCAGAGGGGCUGCUCCUCACCUUCAUCUGUGCCCCAGCCUGGGGCAAAGCAACGUGCUUUGGCACUGCAGUCAGGCUUAAGGUCAAAGAGAAGGGCUCUUGAGAGCAGAUUCACUUUCAGGCCUCAUCCCGCUGACGGCCGAGGCCGCUGACCAGUGGGGCAAUGCCGAGUGAGCGGCUCCUAGCCUGGCAGGGCCACCUGGCCUCCAGGCUCACACUCCUCAGGGAGCAUCUUCGCAUGCUCCUCAGGGAACUGAACAAGAGCUGUGUGUUAUAACUUCAUGUCUGAGAAACGUCCUCCCUGGAGCCCACCACUGAGCCCAGAAGGUUCUGGAAACCCCAUUUGGGGCACAGCAAGGAACUGCUGCUCCAGCUGCUUUAGGAAACAGCUUUGUCUACAUAGCCGGGGUAUGGGGCCAGAGACUGUCCCAGUUUCUGGAGUGGCUGGUCGGGCACCCAGGCGUGGCAGGCCGAUACUGCCCAACCUGAUGGGCUACCAAAUGAAACAGAGUCUGGAGGGGCCCCCCACCUAGACCUCACUGGCAGUGAUGAGCAACAGCCGCCUCCAUGCAGGCCUCCCGGAGGCCCACCCCAAGGCCUCCGAGGACAAGGACCACAGCUUGCCGACUGUGGGAUCCAAGGUCCCGGCCCGGGUCAGUGCCUGAGCCCAGCGCUGCCUGACCACAUUGUCUGUUCCCUUCCCUGUCCCCUCCGCUGGCCCAGUGCCAAAGAGCAAAGUCAGAAACUGAGCUGCCAAGCUGGCAUGUUCAGAAGCUGGACCUCGUCAACGCACCCUGCACGACAGGCAGUGACCCCACCUUGCUGGCAGAGGAGGAGGAGGAGGAGAGGGAGAGGAAGAGGAGGGGAAGGAGGGGGAGGCGGAAGAAGGAGGGUGAAGGAGAGGG
rnacentral:lncRNA from 1 species